UUUGAUGGAGCCGAGCCACAGCGGAUCCCGGUCGUCCCGGUCCUGUCCGUAGGUCUCCUGCAACGCGUGCGCCUC
rnacentral:antisense_RNA from 1 species